rnacentral:rRNA from 1 species
UCAAGCGAAUAAGUGCACAUGGUGGAUGCCUUGGCAGUCAUAGGCGAUGAAGGACGUGGUAGCCUGCGAAAAGCUACGGGGAGCUGGCAAACAAGCUUUGAGCCGUAGAUGUCCGAAUGGGGAAACCCACCCUUUUAGGGGUAUCGCACAGUGAAUACAUAGCUGUGCGAGGCGAACCUGGAGAACUGAAACAUCUAAGUACCCAGAGGAAAAGAAAUCAACCGAGAUUCCGAGAGUAGUGGCGAGCGAAAUUGGAACAGCCUGUACGAUUUA